rnacentral:rRNA from 1 species
AGUGAACGCUGGCGGUAGGCCUAACACAUGCAAGUCGAACGGCAGCACAGUAGGAGCUUGCUCUUACGGGUGGCGAGUGGCGGACGGGUGAGGAAUACAUCGGAAUCUACUUUUUCGUGGGGGAUAACGUAGAGAAACUUACGCUAAUACCGCAUACGACCUACGGGUGAAAGCAGGGGAUCUUCGGACCUUGCGCGAUUGAAUGAGCCGAUGUCGGAUUAGCUAGUUGGCGGGGUAAAGGCCCACCAAGGCGACGAUCCGUAGCUGGUCUGAGAGGAUGAUCAGCCACACUGGAACUGAGACACGGUCCAGACUCCUACGGGAGGCAGCAGUGGGGAAUAUUGGACAAUGGGCGCAAGCCUGAUCCAGCCAUACCGCGUGGGUGAAGAAGGCCUUCGGGUUGUAAAGCCCUUUUGCUGGGAAAGAAAAGCAGCAGGUUAAUACCCCGCUGUUCUGACGGUACCCAAAGAAUAAGCACCGGCUAACUUCGUG